GUGGGGAAUCUUAGACAAUGGGGGCAACCCUGAUCUAGCCAUGCCGCGUGAGUGAUGAAGGCCUUAGGGUUGUAAAGCUCUUUCAGUGGGGAAGAUAAUGACGGUACCCACAGAAGAAGCCCCGGCUAACUCCGUGCCAGCAGCCGCGGUAAUACGGAGGGGGCUAGCGUUGUUCGGAAUUACUGGGCGUAAAGCGCACGUAGGCGGAUCGGAAAGUUGGGGGUGAAAUCCCAGGGCUCAACCCUGGAACUGCCUUCAAAACUAUCGGUCUGGAGUCCGAGAGAGGUGAGUGGAAAUCCGAGUGUAGAGGUGAAAUUCGUAGAUAUUCGGAGGAACACCAGUGGCGAAGGCGGCUCACUGGCUCGGUACUGACGCUGAGGUGCGAAAGCGUGGGGAGCAAACAGGAUUAGAAACCCGUGUAGUCC
rnacentral:rRNA from 1 species